CUUCACUUCAUUCAUUGGACAAAUGGUUAACAACAGCGUCCAUGCUAAGAGUGCACUGAUGUGAAGCACAGUACUGGGUGUACUUGAUACCCCAUUAGUGUCUCUAUCUCGUGGAUAAGCUUUUGUGAAGACACUUUCCAGGCAUUCCAUAGUAGAGUACAGUUCCGUGAUGUCAUCGGUGACAAUGAAACAGCAAAUCCCUAAGCAGGUUGCACAAGCCUGCCUGGCUUGGACACUAGCUGUUCCAUCACAGACAAUCUUCUUCAGAACUGGACCAAGGGUCUUAAAAAUCUCUUCGCUUUCAAUUCCCGACCCCAUCUGUACGCAGAGAAGACAUGCCAGUCCAGCAGCUGCACACAGUUCCUC
rnacentral:lncRNA from 1 species